rnacentral:rRNA from 1 species
UGGUUCUCCCCGAAAGCUAUUUAGGUAGCGCCUCGUGAAUUCAUCUCCGGGGGUAGAGCACUGUUUCGGCUAGGGGGCCAUCCCGGCUUACCAACCCGAUGCAAACUGCGAAUACCGGAGAAUGUUAUCACGGGAGACACACGGCGGGUGCUAACGUCCGUCGUGAAGAGGGAAACAACCCAGACCGCCAGCUAAGGUCCCAAAGUCAUGGUUAAGUGGGAAACGAUGUGGGAAGGCCCAGACAGCCAGGAUGUUGGCUUAGAAGCAGCCAUCAUUUAAAGAAAGCGUAAUAGCUCACUGGUCGAGUCGGCCUGCGCGGAAGAUGUAACGGGGCUAAACCAUGCACCGAAGCUGCGGCAGCGAACGUAUCACCCAAGACAACUUUACGGAGUUGACGAUUGACGGAGCGAAGCGACGUCAAAGCGUUCAUUAAAGUCGAGUUGGCUUAGGGAUACGUUCGUUGGGUAGGGGAGCGUUCUGUAAGCCUGUGAAGGUGUGUCGUGAGGCAUGCUGGAGGUAUCAGAAGUGCGAAUGCUGACAUAAGUAACGAUAAAGCGGGUGAAAAGCCCGCUCGCCGGAAGACCAAGGGUUCCUGUCCAACGUUAAUCGGGGCAGGGUGAGUCGACCCCUAAGGCGAGGCCGAAAGGCGUAGUCGAUGGGAAACGGGUUAAUAUUCCCGUACUUGGUGUUACUGCGAAGGGGGGACGGAGAAGGCUAUGUUGGCCGGGCGACGGUUGUCCCGGUUUAAGCGUGUAGGUGUGUGUUCCAGGUAAAUCCGGUUCACUUUAACACUGAGGCGUGAUGACGAGGCACUACGGUGCUGAAGCAACAAAUGCCCUGCUUCCAGGAAAAGCCUCUAAGCAUCAGGUAACAUCAAA